UACGGGGGGGCAAGCGUUGUUCGGAAUUACUGGGCGUAAAGGGCUUGUAGGCGGCCAACUAAGUCCGACGUGAAAUCCCCAGGCUUAACCUGGGAACUGCGUCGGAUACUGGAUGGCUUGAAUUCGGGAGAGGGAUGCAGAAUUCCAGGUGUAGCGGUGAAAUGCGUAGAUAUCUGGAGGAAUACCGGUGGCGAAGGCGGGUCUCUGGACAGUUCCUGACGCUGAGGCACGAAGGCCAGGGGAGCAAACGGG
rnacentral:rRNA from 1 species